rnacentral:tRNA from 1 species
GGUAGAGUGGCCGAGUGGUUAAGGCGCUGGUUUUAGGCUUACGUAAUCGUUCUCCUUCACCAGUGGGAAACCGCGCGAGUUCGAAUCUCGUCUCUAUCA